GUAUACGACUUUGUUGUGACUGACAUCCAUACGUGGUGAUAAAGUGACACCCGUUUGUGAUGUAUAUCAGACAAACUCUCGUGUACUUCUCAACGUUAUCUGUACACAAACCAAAGUGAAUCUCCUGGUGAAUAAAUAUUUCGGAUUCAGAUAAACAUGUACAUGUCUAUAUAAUUGUGUGUUCACAGUAUUGUCAAUAUAUUUUUUUACUUGUUGUAUGACAUCGUCUGAUAUGAAAUUAGAGUGUAAGUGUGCUUGUAUAUCUGGCUAGGACGCCAGGUAGGUUAGGAAAUGGGACAGAUUAAUGACAGUAGGAAUGUUAUUGUUAUACUCUCACCCGUAACGUGUGUUGGGUACAGUAUUUACAUAUUGUAUACAUGUCUCGUGAGCUUCACCACACAAGGCUACAAACACAUUUAUUGGAAAUUGUAAAUAACCAAGACAAAGACCUGCUUCCCUCGGGUUUCCCGGAGGUACAGUAACUUUAGUACUCGUGGAUUUAGAUAUCACCUGUUCUCAGUAGUGGAGGUGGAUUUUUACCUGUGGUCUGGUGAAAACAUUAUUUACCUGUGGUGGCCGGAACAAUAUCCAGAUAAAAUGGUAUGCAAUCUGUGAUAUCUGAACGAGGUGGUGUGCUGAACAAAAUGGAGGAAUCCAACAGAUUUAUCUCCCCUGUGAACCGGAAGGAAGUGAUGCGAGCGGAAAUGAAGUCAUUGCCCGAAGAUCCGGACACUCAAUGUGGCGUCGGUGUCUGUAAACCC